rnacentral:rRNA from 1 species
UACGAAGGGGGCUAGCGUUGUUCGGAAUCACUGGGCGUAAAGCGCACGUAGGCGGAUCUUUAAGUCAGGGGUGAAAUCCCAAGGCUCAACCUUGGAACUGCCUUUGAUACUGGGGAUCUCGAGUUCGGGAGAGGUGAGUGGAACUGCGAGUGUAGAGGUGAAAUUCGUAGAUAUUCGCAAGAACACCAGUGGCGAAGGCGGCUCACUGGCCCGAUACUGACGCUGAGACUCGAAAGCGUGGGGAGCAAACAGG